UAUGGUGAGAUCAAUGUGAUCAAAUUGGCUUCUUUUGCUUGGAAACAUUUUCUGAGAUAGAUAAACAGCAAUCUCAUAUUAUGUUCAAUUAACUUAGACAUUAGUUCUGAAUGACUGUCAUAGCUCAAAAUAUAUUAAUCCAAAUGCAAGGAGUAAAUUGUUAACUGAAGUAAUGAAAUCAUAAUAGGGAAUAAUUUCUGCUUUUUAUUAUGAAAAAUGCUGAAUAUAGACAAAAUUAGAAAGUUAAAAAUGUUGAAAAUCUAUGCAUUAUACAUCUAACCCAACUUCCACAAUCACCAACUCAUGGCUAGACCUUCUCCUUUUUACCUCAACUAGAUGAUAUUGAAGCAAUCUCCAGAAUCACAUAGACUUAUUUGACAUAUUUCAUCAUGCAUUUUUACAAGAUGAGAACUCAAAAAAAGAAAACUUAUAUACCAUUUUUUUGGCUUUUGUAUUUCUUAAAUAGACACAUAAAACUUUAUUCAGGAAAAAAUUAUAUAAAUUGAAUAAAAUGCUAGGAAGUUGGAGUAACACGAAAGUUAUGGGAAGAAGAUUAAAAGUUUAUUGUAUAAAUGUUGCAUAACAUUUCCACAUUUCAGGGAGAGAGGGAUCUGUUUUGUAAUUAAGUAUAAUUACAAAAAAUAGUAAAAGCAUAAUGUUUGAAGUUGCAAAAAGAUAUUUUUGAAAAAACAUUUAAGAAACAAAUGUGUAUUUCAGGAGAAUUUGAUUAUUUUCAAGUCAGUUACAAUAUCUCCAAAGUUCUGGAUAGCUCACCAAGAAAGAAAUUUCUUUUCUUUGUUUCUUUUCCAAGUAAAAAAAAAAUAUCUCAAGCAAAUCAAUGAUGGUGACCAGAGAAGAGUUAGGGAAGAUAGCAUAUCCAGGUGAGCAAGGGGAAGGGAGGGGAUCAGAACUAAAAAAAAAAAAUCUAAGGAAAUGUUCCUUGCCAAGAUUUCAGCAUAAAAUUUCAAGUCCAUGAUAUGUAUUUGUAGUAUCAGGACAUCCAGAAUAUCAUAGGCUAUUCUUAACUGUGCAAAAAACUAAGUUAUUUAGUUAGCGCAAAAGCUUUGGUAUUAUGUUGUUUAUCAUUCCCUAAAAGAAAAAAAAAUUGCAUGUCAUUGUUCAUUCCUUUCCUCCCCAAAGCAGGUCCACCAUUUAGUUAUCUUUCGGCUUCCUCUAAGGUAGUACCACUGCCCUGAGUUUAUUUGUCUGAUGGAGGCGGACAGGGAAAGACACUGGUGUCUGACAGCAGAAUCUGAAUUCCCACAGAAAUUACUCUCCAAUUGACUUGGUUGUCCUAAUUUUGUUUUGUGCUUCAGAGACUCAGAGAAAUAUGCUGAAAUGGUCACCAUUCACUGGUUGUCACAGAAAUGACAAUGAUUACAAGGUAGGAAGGAUGUUGAACACCAGACAAGGAAGAUGAGGUCUCAGUGCAACAGGUGACCCUCUAAUAACUCACAAAGUAGUCUGUACCUUGUGUAUAAGCAAGUCGAUGGCUGGGGGUAUUGAUUACUGCUACCUACUUAGCUUGCAGAUAAAUGAUGCAGGUAGCUUUGAUUCAGUCUGGCUCAUCAAAGGACCGCAUCCUCUGGUCAUGACCAUGGUGACCUCUUUCAGUUGUGAGGGCUUCAAUUGCAACUUUGGGGUGUUGAAGGGUGGGAAUGAGAAGUUUCAGAUGAGAGAGAAGACCUAUCAACCAGGACAUUUUUGACAGAGACAAAGAGAAGUUGCAUAGAAACUAUAUAUCAUUUGAGAUCUAGAAGUGCAGAUAUAUCAAAGAUAUAAAAUGCUUCCUUUAAGUGAACAGGUGAAAGUUCUUGAAUUAAUAAUGAAUGAAAAUAUUUAACACUGAAGUUGCUAAGAAAGAAUCUUUUAUAUGUGAAAUUGUGAAGAAGGAAAAAGAAAAUAAUGAUAGUUUUGCUGUCACACCUCAAAUUGCAAAGUUAUGACCACAGUGUAUUAUAACUGCUGAGUCAAUAUGGAAAAGGCAUUAAGUGAUAGGUUCAGUAUUAUCGAAGUUUUAGACAUCUGUUCUUGGGAUGUGUCCCCCAAGAAUAAGGAGGAGCUACUGUAUUAACAGUUCCAUCUACCAGUUGGGAGACAUUUUUGUUGGAAUUUGGUUCCUAAAGUCUCCAGGUUAAUUGACAUCAUCCAUUUGUUCUUUUAGACUGAUUAGACUUAAAACUCACCCAAGAUCUUUCUUUUGAAUAUUUUCUAAGUUGGUGUGGUGGUGCACAUCUGUAAUCCAAAUUGAGGCUCAAGCGAGAGGAUCACUUAAGCCCUGGAGUCCAGCCUGCAAUCUGGGCACACAUAAAUGACAUUUUUCAGCUUCUCUUAAAGUAAUGAGUAGCCACGUCAUCAUGUGCUGCUGGCCAAUGGUGUGUAUGGAGAAUUGGUUUGUAACCAUGCUUGAGUCAAGAGCCAGUGUAACUUCCUCCACCUUUUGCUUCUUCAUCUGCUGCAUUGAUAUCGGGUAGCCAUGUGUACCAGACAAUAUAGCUGGAGUAGAAGCUGCCUACAGGAGGAAAACUUCCAAGGAGAAACACGCAGCCUGCAUUUUACUGUUUUUUUCUGGCUUUAAGAGACUAAAACUUGGGGCUGGGAUGUCGCUCAAGCGGUAGCGCGCUCGCCUGGCAUGCGUGCGGCCCGGGUUCGAUCCUCAGCAUCACAUACCAACAGAGUUGUUGUGUCCGCUGAGAACUAAAAAAUAAAUAUUAAAAAUUCUCUCUCUCUCCUCUCUCACUCUCUCUUUAAAAAAAAAAAGAGACUAAAACUUUGUGUUUGGUUGUUACAGCAGCUGUCAUGAAUUACCAUGAUAUAUUGGUAAUCUAUUAAUAUGUCUUAUCUAAAUUAUCCAAUGUAGUGCUCAGUUAUUUAUUGUAUUUCAUUGUUAUUAUUCUGAAGAAUGUUGUAUAGCAAAAUGAAACUCAAUAUUAUAUAUUUGAAAAGAUUAUCAUAGAGAUUGUAGCUUGGUAAAUUGUAUUGUAUGCCCUAUUAAGAAUUCAGAGAAGAAAUUUCUCUUAGUUCUAUUAAUAAUAAAAGAUCACCUACUUAUGUUCUUGAUCUGCUCUUAUCUCAUGGACACUCUGAAUCUUGUAACCGAUUGUGUUUUCCUCAGGGCCAACUUUGUGGCUCAUGUCUAGUAACCAGAUAAGCUUUAUAAUGUACAGGUGCUUUUUGACUUGCAGUGGGAUUAUAUGCCAAUAAAACCUUCAUAUAUUGAAAAUA